UUUUUCAAAAUUUGAAGCAAUAAAAUACUAAACCAAGCAUUCAGCUCGAUGAAUUACUCUCACACCCAAUAGUUCUCCCAAACAAAGUUUCUCUACUACAAUGGCUUCUGAUGACAAUGUGAUAGUCAAAGAAGUCAACGAUUACUUCCGGUUAUACAAAAGCGGCAGCGUUGAGCGUUUCUACGACGUACACGGCUCCUUCUGCGUUCCACCCUCGCCGGAAAAUCCAUCCGCCGGCGCUUUUUCCAAAGACGUCACCAUCUCAACUCACGUCUCCGCAGACUCUAUCUCCCGGAAAACACCACCGCCGGCCAAAAACUCCCCGUCUUAGUAUAUUACCACGGCGGCGGAAUCCGCUUUUUUUACAUGGACUCACCGUUAUGUUAACUCUUUAGUUUCCGAAUUAAACGUCGUUGCUGUUUCGGUAAAUUACCGUUUAGCCCCUGAAGUCGAUGUGACGAUUAUUUACGAAGAUUGUUGGACCGGACUUAAAUGGGUUGCAUCACAUGCCGAUGAAAAUUCGAAUAGUGAUAAUAAUAAUAAUAAUAAUGAUUCGUGGUUAACGAAUUUUUGUGAUUUUAGUAAAGUAUUUUUAGUUGGGGAUAGUGCUGGUGGCAAUAUAGUGUAUCGUAUGACUAUGAGGGCCGGCAAAGAAACGUUGAAUAAUUAUAAUGAGGUGAAAAUUACUGGAUCGAUUUGUGCGUACCCAUAUUUUUUAAUUGGAGAUAUCGAUAUUGAUGAAGAAGGUUUGGCUUAUAAGAUUUGGGUUAAUAUUUGUCCGACAUUGGAGUUCGGGUUAUUAUCCCCAAUUGAUAGUUCGUUGAUUAACCCGCUUUGUGAAAAGGCUCCAUCGUUAUCAGGGUUGGGUUGUUCGAGACUUUUGUUGUGUAUGGGGAAAAAGGAUUAUGUUAUUCCUAUAGAAAUUGGGGGUCGAUUUGUUGAAGAAGUGAAGAAGAGCGGGUGGGAUGGAGAAUUGGAGUUUGUUGAGAUUAAUGAAGGACAUUCUUUUCAGAUAUAUAAAUCUGAAUCUGAAGAAGCUAAACGUAUGAUGAAGUGUUAUGAUGCUUUCAUCAAUCGCUAGUAAAGUACAAUUUCAUAUAUAAAAUGUCUUACGUCCAUGCAGAAUUUCGGGAAAACAACACCUCAAGGGGUUGUGAGUUGUGACAAACAAAAUUUGUUUCGCUCGUGAGUUGGGUUUGUUACUUUUUUAUUGUUUGCUUUAAUUCUCUUUUUUAUCUUAGUUGUUACUGAUGAAUGUUUAUUGCAAAAUAAAUCUCAUUUUCAAUAAGAUAAAUCAAAGCAUGUUGAAAUU